AGUGAACGCUGGCGGCGUGCUUAACACAUGCAAGUCGAACGAGAACGGAAUAUAGCUUGCUAUAUUUGUCAGCUAAGUGGCGCACGGGUGAGUAAUAUAUAGAUAACCUGCCCUUAAGAAAGGAAUAACAGUUGGAAACGACUGCUAAUGCCCUAUAUGCCUUUAAUACAUAAGUAUGCAAGGGAAACGCUUUAGUGCUUAAGGAUGGGUCUGUAUGGUAUCAGCUUGUUGGUGAGGUAAUGGCUCACCAAGGCUAUGACGCCUAACUGGUUUGAGAGGAUGAUCAGUCACACUGGAACUGAGACACGGUCCAGACUCCUACGGGAGGCAGCAGUGGGGAAUAUUGCACAAUGGACGAAAGUCUGAUGCAGCAACGCCGCGUGGAGGGUGACACAUUUCGGUGCGUAAACUCCUUUUAUAUAGGAAGAUAAUGACGGUACUAUAUGAAUAAGCACCGGCUAACUCCGUGCCAGCCGCCGCUGUAACAC
rnacentral:rRNA from 1 species